ACAUGCAAGUCGAACGAUGAUGCCCACUUGUGGGUGGAUUAGUGGCGAACGGGUGAGUAACACGUGAGUAACCUGCCCUUAACUCUGGGAUAAGCCUGGGAAACUGGGUCUAAUACCGGAUAUGACUCCUCAUCGCAUGGUGGGGGGUGGAAAGCUUUAUUGUGGUUUUGGAUGGACUCGCGGCCUAUCAGCUUGUUGGUGAGGUAAUGGCUCACCAAGGCGACGACGGGUAGCCGGCCUGAGAGGGUGACCGGCCACACUGGGACUGAGACACGGCCCAGACUCCUACGGGAGGCAGCAGUGGGGAAUAUUGCACAAUGGGCGAAAGCCUGAUGCAGCGACGCCGCGUGAGGGAUGACGGCCUUCGGGUUGUAAACCUCUUUCAGUAGGGAAGAAGCGAAAGUGACGGUACCUGCAGAAGAAGCGCCGGCUAACUACGUGCCAGCAGCCGCGGUAAUACGUAGGGCGCAAGCGUUAUCCGGAAU
rnacentral:rRNA from 1 species